UAGAGGAUUAAAAAUUUAAAACUUUAUAUUAUUAUGCUUGAGAUUUACCCCAUUAAAUAUAUAUUCAAGGGCUUGUACAAGAUAAAUACCAACUCAUCCUAUAGUAAUACCCAGCCAAUAUAUCCCAAAUGGGGACAUCCCAAACAUGGAAGCAUAUCUCAUAGCUAGCCCAGCCAAUACAUCCCAAAUAGGGACAUCCCAAGCAUGGAGGCAUAUCUCACAGCUAAAAGAAAGAUGUUUAACACCCC
rnacentral:lncRNA from 1 species